rnacentral:rRNA from 1 species
UACGUAGGGUGCAAGCGUUAAUCGGAAUUACUGGGCGUAAAGCGUGCGCAGGCGGUUUUGUAAGUCAGAUGUGAAAUCCCCGGGCUUAACCUGGGAACUGCAUUUGUGACUGCAUAGCUAGAGUACGGUAGAGGGGGAUGGAAUUCCGCGUGUAGCAGUGAAAUGCGUAGAUAUGCGGAGGAACACCGAUGGCGAAGGCAAUCCCCUGGACCUGUACUGACGCUCAUGCACGAAAGCGUGGGGAGCAAACAGG